GACGAACGCUGCGGCGUGCUUAACACAUGCAAGUCGAACGUGAUUUUUAAGGAAAGCCCUUCGGGGUGGGAAUUAAAAUGAAAGUGGCGAACGGGUGAGUAACAUGUGAGCAACCUACCUUACACAGGGGGAUAGCCGUUGGAAACGACGAUUAAUACCGCAUGAGACCACAGAAUCGCAUGAUAUAGGGGUCAAAGAUUUAUCGGUGUAAGAAGGGCUCGCGUCUGAUUAGCUAGUUGGAAGGGUAAAGGCCUACCAAGGCGACGAUCAGUAGCCGGUCUGAGAGGAUGAACGGCCACAUUGGAACUGAGACACGGUCCAAACUCCUACGGGAGGCAGCAGUGGGGAAUAUUGCACAAUGGGGGGAACCCUGAUGCAGCGACGCCGCGUGAGCGAAGAAGGUUUUCGAAUCGUAAAGCUUCUGUCCUAUGAGAAGAUAAUGACGGUAUCAUAGGAGGAAGCCCGGCUAA
rnacentral:rRNA from 1 species